UCUCUCUCCCUGCAAGCAGGUUUCCUCUGCAUGGCAAGUACAUGUUGACAUUCUUCCAGUACCUUGAUUCCAAAGACAAAGUUGGAGGAGGACUCUAAUGGGCUCAGCUGAGAUCACUUGCCCAUUACUGAACCACGUUCUGAGGCAGUGGGUUGGAAUAUUCUCUUUGACUAGACCUGGACUGAUCACCUAUUCUGUGGAUUAGGAGAAGUAGGACCAGGAGAUGUGGCCCUGCCCGCUUCAAAGCACUGAGUGUGGGAUGAGACUUUUCCAAAGGAAAAGCGGUGGACGACCGCUGCUUUCCUGUGAACUCGAGUGCCCUUGGGCUUUCUCCAGGGCCGUCAGCCCACCACCUGCAUAGAGCUGCCCGUGCUCAGCUUCACUGCCUGCCCCGGCCCCCAAGGACCUGAGAUUGCAACCCCAGAGGCAGGCGCUGUCCGUUUGCACUCUUACCGAGCCAGGCCAGCAGGAGCGAUGGCGCGAGUGUGAGAAGUGAGACCCCGGUGCCCACCGGCAGGCUCAGCCCGAGCGCCUUCCCACUGUCCUGUUGUCACCUGGGAUCCCCCUGCCAGAUAUUCGCCCUUGAGGGCAAAUGCAAACUCCCUCAGGGAAGGAGGAGGCCAAAGAACGUAAAUUACCUGAAGAUCCAAGGAGCUUACUGAUGAGAAGAAAGGGCUAAAGGAACUUUUCCAGCUUUGUAACAGCCUGGGGAUCCAGCGCCCACUGCACACUGUUGGGCUGGCGAAAGGGCUGCUUAAGAUGGCGAAAGUUCCCGCCACAAGACCUGAACUCAGACGGGAG